rnacentral:lncRNA from 1 species
UUCCCCUGGCGGACUCCCUUGGAGAUGAAGAACUCCACGUUUGAGGACCCAUUUGAUGCAUACUAGAGUCAAGGAAGUGUUAGUUAACGGAAUCAAACACCUUGUCAAAGUCGACUUUGAAUAAGAACACCUUUUGUUUCUCUUUUUUGGCUGAAGAGUAAUUAUCCUUGAUGAUAAAAGGACCAUCAAGUAUGUUGCAUCCAUCGAUGAAACCGGUUUGGAUGCCAUUGAUCACCAUGCCUAUUACCCGUUUGAUAUGAUUAACAAGUGCUUUAGCGAUAAUCUUGUACAAGCUCCCUAUAAGGCUGAUGGGUUGAUAGUCAUUGAGGGUGAGCAAGUCUUUGCUUUUGGGAAUUAAGGUAAUGAAUGAGGAGCUAACACCCCUAGUAAAACACUCAUUGGCUUCAAAGUACCUAACGAAGAUAUUGUCUUGCAUCAAACACCAAUACCUCCUAAAAAACUAAUUCAUUUGGCCCGGGGGCUUUAUCACCCCCAUAGUCCCAUAUAGCAGCCUUAAUUUCCUUGAGACUAAAAUCAAGUUCUAGGAAAGCGAUGUCUUCCGGGGAGAGGCGUCUAAAGUUUUAGUUGAGGAGAAAGGGCCUAACAGUCUGAGUUUCUCUGAAUUUUUCGUCAAAAAAACAUAGUGCUUCCACUUUUCGAGAAUUUGUAUCUGAUACCCAAUUCCCAUUACCAUGAGACCCUAAAUAGUAUCUUUUUUUUGCCUUUAAUUUUUUAGGAAAUUGUGGUAGAAUUUGGUGUUCUCGUCCCCAUCGGUGAGCCAUUUGAUCUUGGCUCGUUGUUGUAAGUCGAGCCUAUAUAGGUCCUCAAGUUCAAGAAUUUUUAGUUUUAACGCCUUUUCUUCAUCAAUGAGUGCUCUUUCCUCCGCAGCCACAUCUAAACCUUCCACGUUAGCUUUGAAGUCAUUGUAGUUUAUAAUUUUCAUUGGUUACUUUGAUUGUCCUUUACAAAUGCUUUUAUUUGUUUAAUUAGUGGAUAUUUUAAUUAUGAAGAAUUGACAAUAAAGAAUCAAUGAAAACGAAUUGAAAAUGAAAUAAAAGAUAAAGUUAAGGUUGCUUGAUCAAUCUAAACAAUUAUUCUUUAACAUGUUAAAAUUGCACGAUUUGGGUCCUUGGUGUGGUGUUAAAAGUAAAAAAUUCAUAGGGUCUGAAUUAAAAAUAAAAUAAAAGAUAAGGUUAAGGUUGCUUGAUCAAUCUAAACAAUUAUUCUUCAACAUGUUAAAAUUGCACAAUUUGAGUCCUUGGUGGAGUGUUAAAAGUAAAAAAUUCAUAUGGUCUAAACUUUAAACCUUAUGAAGGUACCCUACAAAAUCCUCAGCAAUGAAUAUAUUUUGGUCAUUCAAGAAAAACUAAAACCUAAAAUAUGUUUAAUUAAGGAUAAUUAUGUUUAAUAUUGUCAUAAUACAAUUUUAAAACCGACUAUUAAUUAUAAUAUCGGUUAUUAAAAGAAAAAAAAUAUUUAUAUAAAGGUCGUUGACUUUUCUGUUAAUCAAUGGUACAUUCGUACCCAUAACACGUGCACUCUCACACAAAUUCAGUAAAAAACAAGGCAAUUUGGUUUGCAUUUGCACGUAAGAAAACGCUUUAGUUCUAUAAGUCUUAUAAAAUUUAAAACUUUUUAUAAUUAUAAACCAACUUUAUUUUCAUUCUCCAAUCCACAUGGGAUAAAAUAAACCAUUAAACUCAUUUUGUUUAUCUUCUAAUAUCUUCACUUUAAAGAUUAAUUUCAUAUUCAUUUUUAAUAUGUUUUGGAUGUGUGAUAUACCAAAACGAAGAUAUCAUGUAGGAGAACAUAAACAUAUAACUGUUUAUAUAUUUUAAUAAUGUUUUUGGGUUCCAAUUUCAUGCUAAAAAUGAGAAAAUCUAUUUUUUUGUAAUUCGUUAAAAUCAAUUUUCCAACAAAGGAGAGUUAAGCUGUAGAUAGAAGGUACAAAUAUACAAUGAGCAAUUUAACACAAUUUGAUUUUUCCCAUGAUAAAUCAAAAUAAAAUCAGUUGAUUUAAAACAAACAAACUAAUGUUGUUUUUGGAUGGAUGGAUGGUGAAGUUUGUCAUCACAGGCAUCAAGAUUGACCAUGACCAGAUAUACAUUGUCGAUGAUCUGUCAUAUUAAACUCCAUUCCGCCUUUUAUAUCUUCGACACAUGAUAUCAAUCAACAAAUCCAAUAGAAGAUUAUGAACUUUUUUUAAUUAAUAUACCAAAAUAUCAAGUUAGACAACAGUUGAAAUAAGUAGUAUCACAGUAUACAAUUGAGUAAACACUUUUAGCAAUAAGUAGUUAAUACAUGCUAUAAAAUAUUACUUUAUAACACAAUUAUUUCAUACACAAUUUAUAUAUUGAUCAACAAAAGUUGUAAAAUAAUAACAAGAUUUUAUUAAUAUUGCCUUACGGACUUAUACAAUAAAAGAAAAGUCAAUAACAUCUCCUGACUUAGUAGUUUUACCUAAAUACGUUAAAAAGGUAUGACCUAACUAUGCUACAAUAAACCACGUUCCCCCUAGCCUCCUAUUCAUUACAAAAUCAUCAAGAAUCUUUUUCUCUUUUCUUCUUAUUUGUUUAAGGAAACUCUUUAUGUACAAUUUGGUGUCCUUUAGAGUCCUCUUUAUGCCUUGGCCAUAAUUUCCUUCUCCUCAAAACGAUUCUUUUAUCCUUUUUCUUUUCUUCUUUGACUAAAUCAGUCAAACAUCAUUGUUAUAUAUUCUAAAAAUAGUAAGUUUCUUUGAUUUGUCUUCUUCUUAAACCCCAAUCAAUCUCCAUAUCGAAAUACCCCUUCUCACGAUUUAGAAACAUGCCCAAUCCAUGAACCUUAAGGUCUCUUGUUUUCCUCUUGUCAUCUUUACAGUUGUUUCUUGGGAAAGAGUCUUAUGGGCAAGCCAUUUUGGGGAAGGGCAAAUGGGGCAUAAUGAAUUUCAUUUUGUGGGCCAACCAUCGACCAUCUGCAGAAAAUAGAAAAAUUCCAUGAUCAGUUUAAUAUAUUUGUAGUUCUUGAAAUAUUUCCAUUUUUAGCAAUUAUUUUUAGGUUUUGCCCAUGAAAUGAAGACCUUUUUAUGGUAAAUAAAUGAUUUGAAGGAUUGGCUAGAUUUCACCAACCUGUACUUUGUGGUCAUAUGAUGUAUAAGCACUAGUAUCUCCAACUUGGCUAGCUCGUUUCCUGGACAUGAGUGGGUCCCAUUGCCAAAUGGCAUAAAUGUAUUGGGCUUUGGUGCCACCUGCCAAAUCAUUAAAGAUUUACCAAAUCAUUUUCCCAUUUUUACCAAAUAAAAGAUACUACUUCUUAAUUUGUUUUUCAGCUAAUUCAACUAAGGGGGUGUUUGUUUUAGCAUUUUAUAUCCAAAAGUCAUUUUUGGAAAAGAAAAAAAAAAUGUUUGGCAAACCAAUUUUAAAAGCGCUUUUGGUGUUUUUAUACAAGGAAAAAAUACUUUUUGGAAAAGUCAGGAAAUCUUAACAUUUUGUAACUUUUUCAAAAAGGACUUUUGGGUUUUGAAAAGUUAAGCCAAACACCCCCUAAAUAAUUACAAUUUUAGAUAUUUACCUCGAAUCUUGACGGGUCAAACUUCUCUGGCUCCGUGAAGUUUUCGGGACUAUGGUGGAUGUUUCUAAAGAGUGGCAAUACCUUCCAUCCUUUUGGAAUAAGGUACCCUGAGAGAAAACAAAUUUAAAAUAUUAGAAUAAAACGAUUUAAAAGUAUUUAAUCAAAUAUUAAGUAAACAAAAACUAAUUACAAUAAACAAACCUUCAAAUUCAACAUCUUCGACAGCUUCUCUGAAGGUAAAAGACAAGAUAGAAGCAACUCGGAGGGUCUCUUGAAUGACUCUUGAAGUUAUGGGCAUUUUCUUGGUAUCUGCCCAAGUCAAAGCCUUGUCAUCUUUCCCCUUCAUUAUCUCCUCUUGUUCUUCCUAAAAAGUCAAACAUUUAAUAUUAAUUACAAACUAAAUUAUGGGCUAAACUAAUAUGUUAAUGUCAACUUGCCAUUUUCAACUUUCUAAUAUCUUCAGAAAAAAGAAUGGUAAAUAAAUAAAUGGUUUUGAAAAAAGAUUCAACUUUUUGAUAUUGGCGUUUAGGGAUCAAUUAUUUUAAUGUGAGAUUUCUUAUAAUGCUAAACACUAAAAAGAGAAGAUUUCUUACAGUGACAGCUUGUAGGACAGUGGGAUUUUCAGCCAAGUACUUGACGAUCCAUGUCAAGACACUAGCGGUGGUGUCCCUGGCGGCGAAGAUGACGCCGAUGAUGUUGUCGGCGAUUUGUUCGUCGGUGAGGCCUUCCUUCUCUUCCAUGAACGAAGCCAAUAAAUCCUUAUGUUCUUCUUUGUUGCUUUCCCUUCUCAAAGAAAGAAUCUUCGCCAGGAUCUGUGCUAAUUCCCUCCUCGCCUUCAUUGAUUUGUUGAAGAGUGUUCCGGGAAGAUUAACCGGCAUCGAAUUGUACCCUUUUUCAAGAAUGUAAUAACAUCUCUUGAGAUCCUCUCUGUAUAGCACCUCAUCUUUCCCGAAAAUUGAAAGCAAUGCAACAUUGAAUGUGAACUGCAAAUAUAUAGAUAAGAUGAUGAUCAGAAAACAGAGUAAAACAGAGUGUGAGUUACACCUCCUGUAUUGAGUAUUAUUGACUUCACUUACUGUUUUCAUUUCCUGAAAAGUGUUGAUGAGUUGUUGGUCUUCCCAUCCUCGGAGUGAUUGGACGGCGAUGGAUUCGAUAUCAGGGAUGAUGUUUUUGAUGGAUUCAUGGGUGAAUGCUCGGAGAACAAGACGUCUCAAUUUGGAAUGGUAAUCACCUUGGUGGAAGAAAAUUGCUUGUUUUCCGAGCAUUCUCUCUUUGCUAGCAGGGAAUGUAGGCUUAAAAAGAUGAGAUUUGGUAACAAGCACAAGCUUAGCAGCCGCCGGGCUUGAAAUCAUGACACACCGACAACCCAAAACAUGGGUUUUAAAGAUCGAACCAUACCUGCAACAAAAUCUCAAUCAGUAAACAAAUUUACAGAAAUUAACUACGAGUGAUGAAAUUUGAAAAUGAAACUAACUUUUUGACUUUGGAAGCGAAGAAGACAUUUGGGUUUUGCGAGUAGAGUUGGAAGGUCUCGCCAAUAUAAGGCCAACCGAGUGUUCCGGGAGGAAGAGGGAGGUUUUUCCGGCGAGCUGCGGAGGUGAAGAAAGAUUUGAAGAGAAAGAGAGUUGAAAGAAGGAUAAAGAAAGAAGAGCAGAAGACGAAGGUAAUGAGUUCCAUUGUUAAUCCCUUUGUUAUUUAGGUUGAUGGUGUUUUGAUAGAAAGUGGGAGGGAGGAAGCGAAGGUAUAUAUAAGUAAGCUUCGGAAGGGGAAGGGUGCACCAUUACAGCUAAAUACACUCACACGGAAUCUUGCUCUCCAGCUCAUCUAACAGGGAAAGGAAUGGGGUUGGGGAUGGGGAUGGGUGGUGAAGGAGCUAGGUAACUACUAUUGCAGAUGUGUCCAUGAGUUUAUCUUUUUUUUCAUUUACUUUUUUUUAAUAAUCAAUAAAACCAUUUAAAAAAAAAAAAUUAUAAGAUGAAACUAACAUACAAAAUAGAGGUAGAGGUAAGAGGGAGUGGGGGCAUGACAGUUAGAAUGCAGAAAGGGCGUGAGAGAUGCGAGGAAGGGGGGAAUCGGAAUUGGAAUUGGAAUAGGAAGAGGAAUUGGAUUGACUUGACCAUCUAUUCAUUAUGAUCAAACGGCCCCGUCCCUACCCUACCAAUCAAACCCACUCCGUACCACUUCAACAAUAAUAAUCAAUAUACGCUUCUUGCACACUGUAUUANUUUUUAAAAUUUUUGGUUUUUUUUUUUUUUUUUUUUUUUUUUUUUUUCAAAUUCACUUCACUCCUUCCAACUUAGUAUCUCUUAAACCUUCCCACAGCCGCCAAUAUCAUACUAAAAAGGCUGGUUCUUUGUUCAUCAUUAAAUCAUAUAUAUGGACAUUAAAAAAAAUCAUUUAUCUUACCAAAUAAGUAUGUUAAUAAAUAAUAAGAUUCUAGAGUAGGCAUGCAAGCUCAUAGCGUGAAGCCACCGAAGUCCGAACCACCUACCGUUGAUCUCACUCACUAUAUGGAAGCCUAGAAGGUGCUCUUAAGUACAUUACCUUCACUACAACAAUAGAUCUUACAUAUGUUUUUUCAUCAUAUCUAUCUAGAGAGGGAAACGGGUCGGAAAAUAUCAGGAACUUCAAUCCCCAUCUUCAUCUCUGAAUCAUCAACCUCAUUCUCAUCCACAUCAUCAUCUUCAUCGGGAAAUAUAAAUUAAUCAACAACCUUGCCUCUAACGAGGACCGGGAAUCCCAACAGAAAAUCAAAGAUUUAUUUUUUCUAUUUUAAUAUGAAUUUUUACGUAAAAAUAAUUUAAAUUUCAAUUUUACCGAUACAAGUUUAAAUAUUAAAAAAAAACAAAAAAAUAUUCGUAGAUUGCAUUAAAACUAUAAACAAAAUUUCUACCAAAUAUAAAUACAUAUAUGGAAAAUCAAAUAGAGAAAAAAUUGUCAGAAUGAUACUUGAGGUAACUACAGAUAAACCAAGGAGAAAAUUUUAUAAACGAGGUUAAAUUAGAUAAAUGAAGAGGGAAAAAUAUAAUUUCAACAAAGUAAUUACUAAUAAAUUUGGUUACAUGGAUCAAAUUUUAGUAUUGAAAAUAUAUGUUUUGUAUUAUUUUUAUAUAUUAAUAUCUACUAGGGCUAGGUCUAAAGUCGGGGUGUAACACCAGGUUUCUAAAUUUAGUAUUUGACUGGUGCGCUCACCAAAUUAUAUAUUGGAAGGUUUCAUGUUAUGGAGGUUUGUAGUUGUAAUACUCGAGUCUUAAUGAUGUUUUUUCCAUGUUUAGAUUGAAGGUUUUAUAGUUCAUAAGAAAGUACAAGGAUGGGGCGAAGCAAGAAGCCAUUUAUCGUAUUUUCUGAAAAAUCUAAAAAUAUGAAAUUAUCCGUAAGAAGCGGGGAAUGCCUCUUAAAAGCGCGGUGCACUUCCAGCUCGGUGGAGUAAUUGUUUUUAGGGGUUUAGGAGUAUUUAAGGCCAUUAACCCCUUAGGGUUGGAUCAUUCCCAACCUCUAUCACCCUUAAAACAUUUCUUGAGAAACCCUAGCCUCCUUCUACUUGUUUUGAGCUUUGGAAUCAUUUUCUGAGCUUCACUUCUUCUUUUAGUGGUUCAAGCUUGAAGAACAAGGUGUCUAUAAAGUGCAUAGAAGAAGGGUUCAAGUGUAGAUCCAACAGGGUUGCUUCGUUUAUGGACUUAUCUGAGUAUAAAUUUCAUAUGUUGCUCUUUACUUCUUUAGAUCUAGUUAUUUGUGGUUUAUGGAACUAUCGGUCCAUUUUGCGGGUGAUCUUGGAGUUGAGAGGACUCCAACGCCUUUUUAUCAAUUUGGAAUGCUUCUUCGACCUCAUAGGCUAGGAAAGUUAUGAUCUUUUUCCUUCUUUAUUAGGCAUGCAAGUUUUCUUGAUCCUUUAGGUCAUUAUGGUUUUAAUAAAGUUUUGAUAUUGAAUGUUUAGGAGGUCUUAAUGGAUAAAGUUGGAAACUUUAUCUAUUAAUACCUUAUUAAGGACCAGAUAUAGAAGUUUGGGGGAUUGACUUAAUGGAGCACGUCAUUUUGCUUAAAGAAUAGGGAUGGAAAUGGGGUUAGGAAGGGGAGGGGUUGACCAUCCAUGUUCUCAUCCCCAAGUGCAUAACCUUGUCACCAUCCCAGGCGGAUGUGGGGAAUCAAAUAUCAUCCCCUUUAUAAUUUGGGCUAUUCCCCCGCCCAUCCCUGACCCACCCUGGUCCGUCCCCGAUCUAUCAACAUCUAACGUCCCAAAAAUGAAAAAAAAAUUUCAUUUUAAACCAUCAAUUCAUACAACAAUUUAUUCCAAAACCAAACAAGGUAUUUUCAAACAUCAAAGUAAAUCAAAAGCAAUCAAUGCGGAAAAAAAGUCAUCAACGGAUGUUGUGCAGUCAAGCCGGACCCUUCCCUUUGGAACUGGGAGUACCUGAAAAUGUUUAAACCACAAAAUCGUAAACACAAAGUUUAGUAAGUGUCACACCCCAAAACCGGAACGACGGAAACGUUCUAGGCGGAGGACGUCAUGUACAGUAUCACAAAAAAACAUAAUAGUAAACAAACAACAUCAUCCAUUGCAUUAAUAAUAUAAUUUAAUACAAGUGUGUUCUGUAUAGUUUAUAAGACACCAAAAUAUGAAUCAGAAUAAGAGACGAGUCUUGAAUGUACUCCAUCUUCUAAAAACCUGGCAUCGGUACCUGUCUACUGAUGACCUGAAAAUACAAGUUAUUUUGAAAGAGUUUAUCAGCUUUAAAGUUGGUGAGUUCAUAAGUAUUUUAGUGUCAUUGCUUGUAUGAAAAUGUUUGUAAGAUUUUGAUGUAUAAGUUUGUAAAAGUUGUAGUAAAUGUUUGUAUCUCCUAGAAAAUCCUAUAUUUUCUACUAAAAGUAGCCUUCUACCAAGGCAUCAAAUGUUCUGCAUGUUUGUUUCUUGUAAAAGUGUGUAUUUAUCCCACUUGUUUGAUAGUUAUUAAUCACAUGCGAUUGAUAUAAUAACUAUAAUGUUUCAACUUGUAUUCCCCCCCAUAAAAGCAUUUAAAAUCAUUUAAAAGGUAGAUUAAGGGGUAUGAACUCACCUGUAGUGAGUGAUGCGAAUGAAGGAUCGGUAUAGGAUGCUAAGUGUCAAGUGAAGACUUGAGCACACACACAAAUCCUAUUUAACAUAUAAUGAGACAUAUAUGUAUACAAUUAGUGUUUAAACAACUAAUUAUACAAGUAAGGACACCCUACGUCACAGAAAACACUUAGAUUUAAAGUGCUAGAAGUACAAAAGGUUGCAAAUAAUAUGUGUAGGGCCUCACAUAGGAUUUUACGGCCCAAAUGGUAAUACCCCCAUGAGUUUACGGCCCAAUGAGUUUACGGCCGUAAAAUCAUGGUUUCUUGUACCAUUUUGUGUGUUAAGGUCCUAUGGUCUUCCUUGAAGUGUUCUAGACUUAAUUCUAACGAUUAGGAAGGAGUGGUGGCACCAUUGCACCACUAAUUAGGGUUUACGGACAAAGGAGAUUGCCUUGGCCGUAAACACCCUUUUGUUCUUGAAUUAAUGUUGUUUUCAAGGUGUUUAUAAUGUGAUUCAAGUAUAUAACAAGAUAAGGGUAGUGUACUUGCGUAUUAGAAGCUUGUAAGGGUGAUUAAGGUCCAAAACACUAGUAUGUGUUCUUGGUGAAAUGAAGAACACUUAAAGAUCUAACCAAAAGAAGAGAUUUCAUGGAUGAAAUCAUGUAUAUUCACUAGAUAUUAAAGGAUAUAAACAAAUCAAGGGAAGAAACACUUACAAUCUUGAAGAUCUAAGAGAAAAAUCGGAUGGUGCUUGAGAGAGAAUGAGUUCUUUGUCUUGAAAUGGUAAAAGUGAUAAAAAUGACUAAGUGUCAUAUAUAUACCAUAGAGUUUACGACCGUAAACUCUAGUUAUGGCCAUAAACUCCAAUUCUUGGAGUUUUAUUUCUUGAAUGAUGCACAUUGAACUUUAGAGUAUACUUCCUAAAAUUACCCCUUGAAGGUACUAGGCUCAGAUUGCUCAAACAGACUCUAAAUAGUGCUAAAAGUUAGCAGAAACAAGUCUGAAUUUGAUUGAGGUGAAUUGUUUGUACAAGAUAGAAAUUUCGGGUUGUCACAUCAUCCCCCCGUUAGAGAGAAUUUCGAAUCAAAAUUAGAGUUUAAGCAAUUAAGUUACAAAAUAAUUAAGCGAAAAGAUGAGGAUAUUUCAAUUUAAUUUGAUCUUCGCGCUCCCAAGUGAAUUCAGGUCCUCGCUUGGCAUUCCAACGAACCUUCACUAUGAGGAUACGACUUUGCUUCGUUCGCUUGACCUCUUGGUCCAUGAUCUCUACAGGUUCUUCCACGAAGUUGAGGCUCUCGUUGAUCUCGAUCUCGUCGAGUGGGAUUACAAGAGUCUCGUCGGACAGACAGUUUUUCAAGUUCGAGACGUGGAAAGUAGAAUGUACGUUACUGAGUUCGCGUGGUAGAUUGAGUUUGUAAGCUACAGGGCCGAUUCUAGAGAGAAUUUCGAAAGGCCCUACGUAUAUUUGAUUUAGCUUCCCACGCUUUCCGAAGCGUAUCAAACCCUUCCAGGGUGAGACCUUCAAUAAAACACAGUCGCCAACCUGGAAUUCCAAAGGUUUCCUUCUCUUGUCUGCGUAGCUUUUAUGUCGGUCUCUAGAGGCUUUCAAUCGUUCACGGAUUUAAACGAUCUUCUCUGUCGUUUCUCGAAUGAUUUUUGGACCUGUGAGAGUGUUUUCAGGAAUGCGUCCUUUAGCUAACUGGGUGUCACCCACCUCAGCCCAGCACAGAGGGGAUCUACACUUUUGGCCAUAGAGGGCUUCAAAUGGAGCAGCCUUUAUGCUCGUGUGAUAACUGUUGUUGUAGGAAAACUCGACAAGGGGUAAAUGAGUAUGCCAUGCCUUCCCAAAGUCGAUCACAUAGGCUCUCAACGUAUCUUCCAAGGUUUGGAUAGUUCUCUCACUUUGUCCAUCGGUUUACAGAUGGUAGGCUGUACUCAUCUCCAGCCUGGUUCCUAGGGAACUUUUUAGCGACAGCUAGAACCUCGAAGUGAAUUUACUAUCUCUAUCAGAGAUAAUGGAUAUGGGAACAUUGUGCAUUCUUACUAUCUCUCUAAUGUAUGUUCUGGUGAGCUUUUCCAUCUUGUCAGUUUCUUUGAUAGGCAGGAAGUGUGUGAACUUGGUUAACCUAUCAACGAUCACCCAAAUGGUAUCGAGACCACCCGUCGUCUUGGGAAACUUGGUUAUGAAGUCCAUCGUGAUCUGUUCCCAAUUCCAUUUAGGUAUCUCCAAUUGCUAUAGUAAACCUGACGGUUUCUGGUAUUCGACCUUUACCUUGGCACAAGUAAGACAUUUACUCACGAAGGUAGCAAUCUCUGCUUUCAUGUUAGGCCACCAAUAUAACUUUUUAAGAUCAAAAUACAUCUUAUAUGAACCUGGGUGGACGGAAUAUCGAGUGUUGUGCGAUUCGGUCAUGACCAAGUCUCUGAAACCACCGUGUUUCGGUGUCCAGAUCCGAUCCAUGAAAUAUAAGGCUUUGCCACCCUUUACUUCCAAGUUCUUAUCCAUACCUCUCAGGGAUUCACUCGCCAAAUUUUCAGGUUUCAAAGCAUCGAGCUGAGCCUCUUUAAUUUGUGUGGACAAGUGUGAAUGGAUAGUUAUAGUUAAUUAUUUGACUCUACCACCUGAGUAUUCUUUCUGACUUAGGGCGUCAGCUACUACGUUGGCCUUGUCGGGAUGAUAACAAAUUUCGUAUUCGUAAUCACUGAGUAGCUCAACCCACCAUCGUUGUCUCAUGUUGAGCUCCUUUUAGUCGAAUAUGUGUUGUAAGCUUUUGUGGUCUGUAAAGAUAGUGCUUUCUGUACCAUACAGGUAGUGUCUCCAGAUCUUUAGAGCAAACAUAACUACUCCUAACUCAAGAUCGUGUGUGGUGUAGUUGACCUCGUGCGUCUUCAGUUGCCUUGAGGCACAGGCGAUGACCUUACCUCGUUGCAUCAAAACACAACCGAGCCCUUGAUUGGAUGCAUCGCAGUAGACCACGAAGUCUUUUAUUCAUUCUGGGAGGGAUAGUAUCGAUACGGUGCAUAAGGCUCGCUUCAGCGUUUGGAACGUUUUCUCUUGUUUCUCUUCACAGUCAAAGGCCAAACCUUUCUGGGUCAAUGUCAUAAACAGUUUUGCAAUCUGAGAGAAGUUCUGAAUGAACCUACGAUAGUAGCCAACGAGGCCUAGAGAUUGGCGAAUUUAUGUAGGCGUAUUCGGUGUUGACCAGUUCUCAAUGGCUUUGAUUUUGGAAGGGUCCACAUGAAUUCCCUCUUCACUAACUACGUGACCCAGGAAUUCGACUCUUCGAAUCAAAAACUCGCAUUUAGAGAACUUCGCGUAGAUCUUCUCUGAUCAUAAUGUUUCCAAGAUCUGAUGUAGAUGCUUACUAUGCUCUUCCUUACUACGAGAGUAGAUAAGUAUGUCAUCGAUGAAGACAAUGACGAACUGAUCCAUGUAAGGAAGACACACCCUAUUCAUUAAGUCCAUGAAUAUUGCGGGUGCAUUAGUCAAUCCAAAUGGUAUUACUACGAACUCGUAGUGUCCGUAACGAGUUCGAAAGGCUGUCUUCAGAACAUCCUCCUCAAGCACUCAUAACUGGUGAUACCCGGAUCUUAGAUCUAUCUUUGAAAAGUAAUUCGCCCCUUGCAGUUGGUCGCAGAGGGUAACGAUUCUUAACGGUAGGCUUGUUUAGUUCUUUGUAGUCGAUGCACAUACGGAACGAUCCAUCUUUCUUCUUGACGAACAAGACCGGAGCUCCCCAGGGUGAGAAGCUUUGUCUUAUAAAUCCCUUGCUUAGCAGUUCGUUAAGUUGACCGAACAGUUCUUGCAUCUCCGCAGGUACUAGACGAUAGGGCGAUUUGGCUACUAGGGUAGCCCCUUGAACUAAGUCGAUUCUGAACUCGACUUAACAUUACAGAGGUAAUCCUGGGAGUUCUUCUGGAAAGAUGUCAGGAAAAUCGCGUACUAUUGGAAUGUUCUUAAUGUCCUUCGUUUCUUGGCUCAUAUCGACAAUGUGAGCAAGGAAUGCGUGAUAUUCCUUACGCAAGUACUUCUGAGCUUGAAUACUUUAUAUGAUACGAAGGUUUUGUGUCGGGUUUGUCGCCAUAGAUAACUAGAGUUUCGCCUGACAGCAGAUUAAGGCGAAAAGCCUUUUCAUAACACAUGAUGUCGGCACGAUGCAUGCUCAACCUAUCCAUGCCAAUAAUGACGUCGAAACUUUUAAUUGAGACUGGCAUGAGGUCGAUUGAAAAUGAAUGGCUAUCUAGAGUUAGAGUGCAUCCUAUAUAUAUACUGCUACUGCUCUUAGUCUUUCCGUUAGUCAUUUCUACACUGAACGGUUCUUUAAGUGUUCGUGAUUUCUGCUUAAGUAAAUGAGCAAAUUUUUGGUUCACGAAACUCCUCUCCGCUCCACUAUCAAACAAAAUGCAUGAAUAAGACUUAUCGAGGAGAAACGUACCAGUGACCACUGUGGGGUCGGCAACUGCUUCCUCAUGGCCUAUAGCCAAAACUCUUCGUACUCCACCCGUAUUCCCUGCCUUCGGGCAGUUCCUUUUGUACUGGACCACCUCGCCACAACCAUAGCAAGCGUGGCCUACACAAGCGUCGGGGACUUGGUUGAUUGGCCUUGCCGGAGGUUUGCAGAAAUGGGCAGUGUGCCCCUUCUUGUUGCAGUUAGAACACUGCAUUUCCCGGCAGGCUCCAGUGUGGUGGAAGUUGCAUUUUUUGCACUUCGGCAAACUCCUCGCGUACUGCUUUACCGGAGCAGUAGUGGCAGGUGCUAUCGCAGCAUGAACUGCCACGACCUACUACUUUUUAGCAGCUUUCUGUGCAGCGUUCUUCUUCUUCUUGUCAUCCCAGAACUUCCGCUUGUUAUCAGUGGCUUUGGAGGGUUCUGAGAUGGCUAGGGUUGUUGUGGUUGACGGGGUACGGACCCCAUGGUCAAUGAGCCCUUGUGCUAACCGCUUGCCACUAUCGAAGGUAGUGGGGUUUGAAGCGAGUACAUUCCCCUGAAAUGGAGGCACCAGCCCCCAUAUAUACCUCUCCACCUUCUUUGCUUCAGAAGGGACCAUUCCUGGACAUAGCGCUACCAGAUCGCUGAAUCUGGUAGUGUAGGAUACUAUGUCGGAGCCCUUCAUGGUUAGGCUCCAGAGCUCCUGCUCCAGCUUUUCAACUUUUCCCCUCGAGCAGUAUUCUUUGAUCAUGAGCUCCUUAAGAGCUUCCCAGCCUAUAGCAUUUGCCACUAUAAGGGAUCGUGACUUGACAUGGCUAUUCCACCAUGUCAGAGCUCAGUCCGUGAAAGUGCAGUCGGCAAUUUUGACCUUGCUCCCUUCCGGACAGGAGCAUAUCUCAAAGAUCGACUCCGUCUUCUCGAACCAUUGCAAGAGGAAUGAUUUCGUCAGUUCCAUUGAAGGCCCUGGGUUCGCAGCUGGUGAAGUCCUUGUACGAGCACUCCCUAGCAUGUGGAGCUUCGACAACAGUGGGAGGCACAUAAGUCCCACUCCCACUAGUACCAGUAGUGGUGAAUUGUGCCAGAGCUGUCCUAACAGCCGCAUUCACAGCAGCUUGGAUAGUUUUUUGGUUGUAUGGAGGAGGAGGAGGAGUUUUAUUUAGAGUUAUCGGAGUAGUGCGUCUCAUUGAUCGACAAGGAGGCAUCUUGUAGCUAUAAGAUCACAAAGAUGAAGAUAUUGGUAAGAAUUUAAUAGAGAGAAUGAUGUGAGUGACUCAUGGACUAACUCUCCAUAACCCAACAACACAAUGGAAGUAUGAUUGAAUGUAGAUCUAGUACUAGAAAGAUGAUAUUAUUUGGAUAAUAAUUUCCCUGAGAUUAGAUAUCUGUCAAUAUUACUGGUAUUACAGAUGUAACAAGUUUGGCCAAAAUGACCUAGAAGUAGGUCUUACAUCAUACCAAGAUAGGAAAAUUUUGACAAAGUAUGACCUAACAAGACUUAACAGAUUCCAAGUCUUCACAUAAAUAGGAAAUUAAACUAGAGUUUUUACAUAGACUAAGUUAAAUCCAAAAGAGAAAGUUGAGUAGGCUCUAUCUACGAUGAGAACCACUGGAAUGAGUCCUUGAUUCUGACAGACGACGCUCCAUGUCUCUCAUGCGCCUUUCAGACAUUGCCUGCCGAGCUCGAAGUUCCCUGACUUCAGCUUGGGUUGCAGUAAGAUCUCUCUGCAGGGCCGCAUUUUGAUUGUGAGUUCUUUCAUAAGCAGACUCCAGAUGGCGAAUGCGAACGAUAUUGACUCCCGCAUCGGCAUCCACUUCCAUGAUUUGGUUGAUGGCCGCUCUACCCUGCUUAUCAUUACGAGCAAUCAUGCGGACCAGAAUAGGCAGGACUCUGUCCACUGAGCCUCCCUCGCUCAAAUUAUAGAAGCUUUGAUUGCCAUUGUAAGGUAAGGGUUGACCCUGUUCGUGGCUUCAUCUUUUCAAGUUUGUUGCCCACAGAGGUGUGGGACCUUGAAAUGUUGGACGAGGGUUAGCGUUAGGGAUUUGAGCCACUGGGGGGUAGGUUAUUGACUUCGGGUUCGAAGUCAGAAUCCUCCGAGAAGUUCUCUCCGAAGUUGUCAUCCAGAGGGAUUGGAUGAUUGUCUUCCGGCUCUGCAUCGAGCCAUCCUCCGUUACCUUGAUUUGGGAAGUACGGGUCACCGUGGGGAUGGAAUCCAACCAUGAUAUCUACGCGAGAAAAGGGGUAUAAGAAUCUUAUAAAAAUAGAUGUACUACUUAAGAUAAUUAUAAGAUGAUCCUUACUAGUUACUUUAAUACUUGCAUAGUGCAUACCAGUCAUAUGACACCAAAACAGGAUAGACCUUCGAAUAAGUAACCCUAACUCCAAAUCCACAACCAAACAAGGAACAUGAAGUAAUGCAAAGAUCACAGAUUCUAAGUCUAUGACACCUUAGUCACAUAUAACUUUAGCGUAUCCACUUAGCAACUAUUGAUCUACUAGUAAAGACCUUUUUAGUUCUCAAAGAAGUAAUUAUAAGAGCACAAAAUACUCCUAUAGUAUUUUAGGUUUAUCUUAUGUUCUAAUGUUCUUAUUGUAGUAGUGUUGGUAAGUUUUUAGACUUGUUGCAACCUCACAACCAUUCUUAGGCACAUGCUAGUCACUCCUCGGAAAAUAUAGUUGACCAGGCUAUAUCACUCCCAGAUUUGACUAUAUGUCUCUAAGUCUAAUUGUGUUGUCCAACAAUUGUAAUACUUUUGUUCUGUCCUAGUGACAAUGAUUUUAGUAUGAAUGCAGGUAUGUAUACUUGGUUAAAUAUUUUAUUAUUUAAAAGUAUAAACUCUUGGUCAAAGUAUUUUAAUCCCGUUGUGUUUAUAGUUUGUAUAUCUUUUAUAGGUUGAUAUACUCGAUUCACUAUAAACAAAGCUCUAAUACCAAUUUGUCACACCCCAAAACCGGAAUGGCAGAAACGCUCUGGGGCGGAGGACGUCAUGUACAGUAUCACAACAAAGCAUAAUAGUAAACAAGCAACAACAUCAUCCAUUUCAUUAAUAAUAUAAUUUAAUAUAAGUGUGUUCUGUAUAGUUUAUAAGACACCAAAAUAUGAAUCAAAAUAAGAGACGAGUCUUGAAUGUGCUCCAUCUUCUCAAAACUUGGCAUCUGUACCUGUCUACUGAUGACCUGAAAAUACAAGUUAUUUUGAAAGAGUUUAUCAGAUUUAAAGCUGGUGAGUUCAUAAGUAUUUUAGUUUCAUUGCUUGUAUGAAAAUGUUUGUAAGAGUUUGAUGUAUAAGUUUGUAAAAGUUGUAGUAAAUGUUUGUAUCUCCUAGAAAAUCCUAUAUUUUCUGCUAAAAGUAGCCUUCUACCAAGGCAUCAAAUGUUCUGCAUGUUUGUUUCUUGUAAAAGUGUGUAUUUAUCCCAAGUGUGAUUAUUAUUAACAAAAUAUAGUUUUUACUUUACCGUUUAUGUUAGAAGAUCACAAUGUGAACGCAAUGGGAAAAUAAUAAAGUACUGCAGUGUUGUAUAUAGUAACUACUGUUGUACCAACUACCUUAAACCGUUUGUUAAUUAAGGUAUAAUGUGAUAUGAUUGUAACCAAAAUUGAUCGACUAGUAAAAAACGACGCUCGAAGACGUCGAAAUGGUAUGACAUUUGUCAUCCGUAGACCUGCAGGUCCCAUUGUGGCUAGCAACAAGGUGUAGGACGGUCAGUCCCGUAUAGAUCUAUACCCAAAUUCACGGUCUCCCUCCAGAAGAAUCUGGUUAUAAAAUAAGCCAUAGCAGUGUUGCCAUGCCCCGAAGUGGUGGCUCACAUUUAUGUUAUAGUAUUCUUGUAUAUGUAUUGUAUGUACUAGUGUAGUGUAUGUUCUCUCUGUCUAGUAUGUAGUAUGUUCUCUUUGUUUCUCAUCAUAGUAUGUUCUCUUGUAUAGUGUAUAGUAUGUAUUGUUUCUCGUUAUAGUAUUCUCUAUCUGUUUCUCUUUAUAGUAAGUAUUGUUUCUUGUUAUAGUAUUCUCUAUCUGUUUCUCUUUAUAGUAAGUAUUGUUUAUUGUAUGAACUGACUCUUUGUAUGUUUCAUUGAACUAGAACUAGUGAGUAGUGACUUCCUAAACUAUACCUAUUAUAGUUUAUUAGUAGAGUUGUUUGUAUAACUGAGUGUGUUGAGCUGAGAUAAAAGCUUUUAUUUCUAUACAUAUAUACAUAAUAUAUAACUAAGGAUCAAACGACACUCGGACAAACAACAUGGUACUCUAAGUCCACAACCAAACAAGGAACAAGAAAUAAUGUGAGUUAUCAGUCCUAAGUCCUUCCAACCUUACUUAUAUAACUAUAUAUGCAUUUGACAUGGUUUUGACAAUAUAUAAGUGUAAAAGAGUUAAAAGAAAAGGUUUGACAUAUAAGAACAAGUUUGAUAAAGAUUUUGGUAUGUAAAAGAGGUUGAUAAACUUUCUGAAGUAGUUUGUUUUGAUAAACAGUUAAAAGUAUAGUAAAUCCAUUUGUUUGAUAGUUAUUAAUCACAUGUGAUUGAUAUAAUAACUAUAAUGUUUCAACUUGUAUUCCCCCCAUAAAAGCAUUUCAAAUCAUUUAAAAUGUAUAUUAAGGGGUAUGAACUCACCUGUAGUGAGUGAUGCGAAUGAAAGAUCGGUAUAGGAUGCUAAGUGUCANAUAUAUAUAUAUAUACACAAUUAGUGUUUAAACAACUAAUUAUACAAGUAAGGACACCCUAGGUCAUAGAAAACACUUAGAUUCAAGUGCUAGAUGUACAACGGGUUGCAAAUAAUAGGUGUGGGGCCUCACAUAGGAGUUUACGGCCCAAAUGAUAAUACCCCCACGAGUUUACGACCCAUGGGUUUACAGCCCAAUGAGUUUAUGGCCGUAAAAUCAUGGUAUCUUGUACCAUUUUGUGUGUUAAGGUCCUAUGGUCUUUCUUGAAGUGUUCUAGACUCAAUUCUAAGGCUUACGAAGGAGUGGUGGCACCAUUGCACCACUAAUUAGGGUUUACGGCCAAAGGAGAUUGAAUUGGCCGUAAACACCCUUUUGUUCUUAAAUUCAUGUUGUUUUCAAGGUGUUUAAUAUGUGAUUCAAGUGUAUAACAAGCUAAGGGUAGUGCACUUACAUAUUAGAAGCUUGUAAGGGUGAUCAAGGUCCAAAACACUAGUAUGUGUUCUUGGUGAAAUGAAGAUGUAACGCCCGCGUUUCUAGGCUAGGUGUUAUCAUUGAUGUAAUAGUCUAGGUUAACCUUGUAACUCUUUUUGAAGUAUUAAUGAUGAAAUAUUUGAGUAUUAUGUGAAUUAUGUGAUUUACGUGUUUGUUUUCUUAAUUGUUAUAAUUUAAUGAAUUAAGAUUAAAAUAAGUGUCAAAAGUAAAUUGUGAGAUAAGCCCGAUAUCUUUGCUUGAAGAUGUAGUGGUUGAAACAAGGAUUUCGAAGAUAUAAAGAAUGCCAAAAUCCGAGUUAUAACGAAGAAGUUAUGACCUGUCAAAGUUUCGCGACAGGACCGACACGACACUGAAUGACGUAAAAUGUGAAUUUGAGAUAGAGCGAUAUUUAGCCUUAGUGAUCUAAACGAAUGUUGUAGAGUUCGUUAAACUGAGAGCGUGCAUAAAAAGAUAGUCCAAAUCUGACUUCGUAUGAGGAAUUUAUGAUUUUCCGAAGUUUCAGCUUAGCAGUAUGUAACCCGAAACUCAAAUAUGAGAUCGUGUGAUUUCUUGCCGAAGCAAUCUAAACGAGAAUCGAAGAUAUCAUCAUUAGUAGCGCAACGAUAAAAAGACUGGCAUAAAUGGACGUCAGAUGAAGAAGUUAUGAAUUUAUAACAGAGUUUUCUUGUCCCGGCCUACUAAAAAUAAUUUCAAAAUUAGCCGACAGAGUCUAAACCAAAGUUGUAGAGCAUAGUCUCACCUACGUGUGGAUAAAAAGAACGUCGAAAACGGAGCUCGUAUGAAGAAGAUAUGAAUUUUGGAAGUUUUUAAAUAAUUAAUGUAUAUCAAUUUUAAUAUAAAUUCGAAUAUUAUCUGAAGGAGGGGAGGAGGAGUCGAUCCGAUCCAAACUACGCCCAGCGUACCCCAAUGCAUGAACCACUCGAGUGUUCUGCGUUCGUAAGCGAUGACGACUCUGGUCUGAUCCGGACUAUGCCGCGCGUACCGAAGCAUUACGCCCAACAUAAUGCGAGGAAUCAGACCCUAUAUAAAGGGUGCGAGGGCGGCCGGCCUUGUUGCUCAUUUUAUCUUCUCUCUCUCCCGUUUUACCUCGUUCUUCGUGCAAGAAAGAUCCCAAAGCCCUGGUAUCAUUCCCGAGACCCGAAUCAAGUCCCGAAGCCCCGAGGAUCCCGAGAAGUAAAAUUCCUGAGCCGAAGCUCUGCUCGCGAGAAGCCCGGUUUUUGUGAAGAUCUCCCGAUUUCACCGAAGAAUACUACUUCUACAAGCCGUAGUGCUGUCCGAUCAUCUUCUGAUCAAGUGAGUGUGUAGUUACUUUCUUCUAAUACAUAAAUACAAAGUAUUUACUAUGAAAUACGUGUUAUGUGUUUAUAUAUUGGUGUUGAUUUGAAGGGGGUACAUAAUCUCUUUCAAAUGCACGAUUUUAUACAAGUAUCAAUUUAACGUACUAAGUAUAUGUGUUAUGUGAGUGUAUCGAUGUUAUCUUCUAAUCUCAUAGAUAUGAUUUAUUCUCUAUGAAAUACGUGUUAUGUUUAUGUGUCUCAUCUUUUAUCUGGAAUGUGUUUUGAAUGAACAUACUAUACAGGUUUCAAACUAUGUAUAAAAAUGUAUAUUUUAUCUACUAAAAUGUUGGGUAAAACAUGGGUAGAUAGUUGUCUUGUGAUAAAAAGAUGAGAGGCCUCGAUGUUUUUGAUUUAGUCAUCUAGCGGAGUUUAGAUGAAGACCAUGGACUUUUCUAGACAGUCUUGUAGAACGCUAGCAGGUUUGCCACCUGUAGGUGUUAAUGAACUUGGGUGUUCAUUCGCUGUACUCCAUCCCCCUCAUGGUUGCCUUAUUUGACAUAUAUUGUUAGGAAACCCUUGAAUGCAUGUGUUGUCGCCCCGAUGAAAUAUUCUUAGACUAGGUCCCUUAUGUUAGUUGUCUUAGGGACGUAAAGUGAGAAUAACGGGAAUGGGUAAUUGGGUUAUUGUUGGUUGGUGGAAUUAAAUUUAAUUAUUUAUUGUGGGUUGAAAACCCUAUAUGCUCACUAGGCUCCCAAGCCUGACCUACUCAGUUUUCUUUGUAUUACAGGUAGUGGCGCCAGAGCAUAAGUUGGAUGACUUGUCAAGUUAUUUUUGGAUUAUAGACAUGCUGUUAUAUAUAACUGUUAGUGUAAGGUCUGUAUUGUAAUGUUUAUGCUUUUGUUCUGAUUAUCAGAACAUGACAUCCUGAGUUUUCUUAUAUAAUGAAAAUACAUUUCCUUAUGAAAUGCUUUGGUGAAUCUUAUUUUAUCAUAUUUCGUUUUGGGAACAAAUUCUACAACUCUUUUUAAUGAAAGAAUUACUCUGAAAUUGUUUUAAAAGCAUAAAUUAAACCGGUCUUUUGUGGCCGUGAUUUUGGGGAUGUCACAGAAGAACACUUGAAGAUCUAACCAAAAGAAGAGAUUUAAUGGAUGAAAUCAUGUAUAUUCACUAGAUAUUGAAUGAUAUCAACAAUUCAAGGGAAGAAACACUUACAAUCUUGAUGAUCUUAGAGAAAAAUCGGAUGGUACUUGAGAGAGAAUGAGUUCUUUGGCUUGAAAUGGUAAAAGUGAUAAAAAUGACUAAGUGUCAUAUAUAUAUAUAUAGCAUGGAGUUUACGCUCACCAUGACCGUAAGCUCGAAAGUCCUGACCGUAAACNGGCUUGAAUGUUGCACAUUGAACUUUAGAGUAUACUUCCUAAAAUUACCCCUUGAAGGUACUAGGUUGAGAAUGUUCAAACAGACUCUAAACAGUGCUAAAAGUUAGCAGAAACAAGUAUGACUUUGAUUGAAGUGAAGUUUUUGUACAAGAUAGAAAUUUCGGGUUGUCACAGUAAGAUCCCCGAAAUACCACAUAUCAUACAUAAGAUAUGGAAUGAUAUGGGCCAACCAUAGUCUUACUGUCACUAUCAGUCAUGAGCCAAUCGUGGUCUUUCCUUGCCACACCAAGAGCCAAAUCCUGGUCUUAUAUAUAAGUGCCAAGAGCCACCUCAUGGUUUCCUUUCAAGUAUCACAAACACAACUAGCAACAUACUUCAGGAGCUACCACCUGGUCUUGUAUAUAAUUUCCAGGAGCCACCACUUGGUCUUUCAUACAUAUGAUAGGGGACACCACCUUGUCUUCCAUGCAAGUAUUUGUAACAUCCCAAACAUACUGAGUAAAAAUUUCAUUUAAAUAAAUCCAAACCAUUCAUUCAUUUGUUCCAAAAGACAUCAGAAUAAAAGUAUUCUCAAAACAUCAGAGUAAAAUUAUUCACAGUCAAUGUGAAAUAAAUCUCUAGGUGAUGCGGUGCGAUCAAGCCGAGCCCUUCCUUUUGACACCAGAAGUACCUGAAAAAUAUUUUAAACAUAAAAUGUAAGCACAGAGCUUAGUGAGUUCCCCAAGAUAUUGAAAGGCCUAGUAUGCUCAAGAGUCAUAUUAAAGUGAUAUUACUAAAUAACAUAUGGUACUAAUGGGUCACACUAACAACAACUUGAUACAAUUGAUUAUUUAUUAGAAAAUGAUUUUAAUAAAUAUUCAAUAAAACUCUUAUAAUUAAAUUGGAAAUUAUUUAUUUCAUAGAAAUAAUAAAUUCCAUCAGCAAGUAACUUAAUAUAUAUCAUAUGGUAUGAUUUAUAAGUUAUAUACUAACUUUUGGACUAGUUUAAUCCUUUUAUCUUUUUCCUAAAAGGCAAGGUUUAUAUUUUAUAAAAGAGUUUAUAAAAGUUUGACUUUCUUUCUUCUACUUUAUGCAAUUUUUGAGAUAUGGAUAAAAAGAAGUGUAUGACUUGUCUAAUCAUGCUUUAAAGGCAUGGGAGACAUGCUUAUGACAAUGGGGACAAGAUCGCUUAAAGUGCUAAGGACUAAUGGUUAAUAAAUUCACUUUAUGCAUAUAAAUAAGAGAGCUUGCACUUGGAUUAUUUGCUCAUUCAUUCCUUGAUGCAAAAUCUGAAUCCUCUCUUCCCUCUCCCUUUCUCUCUAGUUUUGGUUAGAAAACUUGAAGAACACUUGCAUCUUCAAGUCAUCUUUAAGUUCCUAUUGGUUAUGAACUUAAAGCUUAAGGGUUUAAGAGUUUUGGACUAGCAUCUACAUCAAGUUGAGUCAUUGUUGGUGCUUUAAAGGUUCCACAUUCUUCAUCAACUUCCAAGCCUCCCGAGAGGACCCAAAGAACUACAAAGGUUGUUAUUUCUUCACCUCUUCUUUGGUUGGUGUUUUAAUCUUUCUAUAACUUGCAAGACGCUCCUUGGUGGGUAUAAAAUGUUUAUGUUACUUCAAAAUUAAAGUCUUAAGUUCCCAUAUUUUUCAAGUUUAAGAAAAUAUUUUUGAACUAAAACCCAACAAUUGGUAUCAGAGCCAUCUUGCAAGUUUGGUUACAUUUUAUGAUUUUUAGAAAUCUUUGUUUUUGGAGAAUAAGGAUAACUUUUUUUUUUGUAUAAAAUAAGUUCAUACAUAUUUUCUAUUACAACUUUUUUUGUUAUUUUAUGUGACAAAAGUUUCAUGCAUCUUUUUUCAUUUAAAGUUGUCUUAGAAAAACAAAGGUUGUUUGAUGUGUAUAUUGAUGUAUAUGAUGUGCAUAAACUAGCCAAUGACCAAUGUGUUGUUAUGUUGUUAUGUUGGUUAUUUUGUUAUAAAAUUGUUGUAAUAAUUUAUUUAUUCAUAUGGAAUGUAAUAAUUAAAUAGAUUAGCUUUUCUUGGUCGUUUUUAUAAAGUAAUAGAUUGGUUUUUAUAAUUAAUUUAUUUGUACAAAAAUGUAACAAGAAAUCAAGUUGGAACCAUUUUUGGAAGACAAAAGAGCAAUUUUCAAGUCUAAAAGGUGUGCAAGAUUUUUAGUGACAUUUUCUGAAAAGUGUCAGUAAUGCUAUUCACAAAGGGUUGUUGGCUUUUAGUGACAGUUGUUGAAUUUUAGCCUUCAAGAAGUUUUUCCAAUCUUUUGCAAGCAAUGAGUGCUUACUUAAGUGAGAGCUUCUUCAACAACAUUACAAGAAGAUAUUUGGUCCCCUUAAAUGUCCCUCUAGGAAUGGACUUGACAUUUUUGUGNUGUAUCUUUUUAUUAUGCAUGUUUGUGUUGUUUAUUUUAUGAAAUUAUUAUGUGUGGUUGAUAAAUUAGUUUUUCACAUGCUAAAAUAAUUUUAGACAAAAUAAACAUCACAUGUAGUUUGGGUUUUCAAAAUUGGACAUAAGAUGUAACAAGUUAUUAAUUUUAAAAAUAAAACCCGGUUUUAUAAAAUCGUUAAUAAUGACAAAUUUUGAAAUACUCCAUUAUAAAUUUUAAAAUGGUGAUUUUUGUAACUUAUACAAACUCCAAAUAUAUAAGUAAUAAAAGGAAAUUUUAUUAAAGUUAUAAAAGGUUCAAAUGCAUUCAAACUUAAUACCGGUUAUUAAAAUUAAAUUGCGUCAAAUUAAAUAAAAACUAGUUUUUUUAUAUAGAACCUUUAAAAGUGAUUUUAUUUUGAAAAUUGAUACUAUGGUUUAUUAUAUGCAUGUAAUAACCAUGAUAUCAUAUGUUUUACAAACUAUAAUUAUAAAACAUAUAAAAAUGCUAUUUACAAACCUCAAAUCUAUGCAAUCCUUUUUGAAGAACACUCGCAUGUAUCUUGUAUGCACUAGUGGGAUAAAUGAUACCUAACCACUUAGUGUUAUCUUUUGAUGGCCGGGGUGUCUUCGUGAUUUCUAUAACCAGGGUAUAAUUCGAUUACACAAGUUUUUCAAAUUGGAUGAUUUGAUCGGAAAUCAUUUGUGAUAAAUGAUACCUAAACAAGAGAGUUCCGAGGUAUAGAUGAGAUCAGACCUGUCUAAUUAAAUUAGUUAAUUAGUGAUCCCAUAAAUAUAGGAAUUAUAUAGUAAGAUAUAAUUGAUAAUCGGUAUCUAUCGGGUUGAAUUCAAAUGGAUGGGAUAAAGGAUAUCUAACCAUUUAUUUUUUUUGCAAAUUGGAUCCUAGACUUUUAUAAUUAAUGUUUUUGAAACUAAAAGGGUAUUUAUUAUUAAAGAUUAAAUAUUGAAAAUACUAAAUGAAUUUUGUUAAAAAUUUUGUAGUUAAGUAAUCUAUUCUCAUUAUCAUGUAUUGUCAUUUUCUUUAAUGAAUUGAUGAAACAAUAACAUUCAAUAGAUACAACUUCAAUGAAUGAGUUCAUGUCUUAAGAGACAAUCUCGUAAGAGAUAUGAAAUUGUAUACACUUAAAGGUCCUAGUCCUAAACUAUUUGCUAUGAGAAAUUAAAACUAAACAUUAUACCUAGUAAAGGCAUCACUGUGAUGCUUAAGAUGUUUCUAACAUCAAGCUAGAAAUAGUUAUUCAUGACUUCUAGGAAGUCUUGGAUAAUUUAUAUAUAUAUAUAUAUAUAUAUAUAUAUAUAUGAUAUAACAGGUCAAGCAAUAUUCCAGUAAAUACAAUGAUAUUUUAUUUAAAGCUAGUUUGAACAUUGAAAUAAUGCAAAGGCUAAAAGAGUCACCUAGUAUGAUCUAAGAGGCCAAUCUUUUAUGGACUGAACACCUUUAAGCCCAAGAAAUCUACUAAAGCCCACAUAGAUGGAUCUUGUUUCUUUUGUGAAGAAAAUGGACACUAGAAGUUUACUCCUCUUAUUUGGAAAGAAAGUCUUAAAGAGACUAGUACUUCUUGUAUCUACUAGAUAGAACUCAUACUUUUCAUAUAACACUUAAGUACAUGGUACUUAAAUGUUAAUCUAAUAUUUGUAAAUAGCUUGCAAAUAUUUAUUGAAGAGUAACCAAGCUGAGCACAAUCAAGUAAGAUGUAUCGAGAUUUGAGAAUGAGUUACUGGUGGCCGUGUAUAAAGAGGGAGAUAGCCUAGUAUGUCGAGAGGUGCAUGACCUGCACGAUGGUCAAGGCGGAGCAUCAGAGGCUGCAUGGCAUGAUGUAGCCUAUGGUGGUUCCCAUGUGGAAAUGGGAAAAAAUCACCAUGUAUUUUAUCACCAAGUUGCUGAAGAAGGCCAAGGGCUUUGAUACUAUAUGGGUGAUCGUGCAUCGGUUGACCAAGAGUGCCCACUUUUUGGCCAUCCGGGAGAGCUCUUCCACUGAAAGGUUGGCCAAUGUGUAUGUCCUGGAGAUUGUUGCUCGUCAUGGGGUUCUGGUGUCCAUUGUUUCUGGCCGAGAUGUUUGGUUCACCUCUCAUUUCUGGCAGAAGUUCCACGAGGAACUGUAAAUGAGGUUACAUUUCAGCACUGCAUAUCAUCCAUAGACUGACAGCCAAAGUGAGGGGACUAUACGGACCCUUGAGGAUAUGUUCUGGGCCUGUGUUAUUGAUUUUUGGUGGGAGUUGGGAUUCCUACCUACUGCUUGCGAAUUUCUCCUACAACAAUAGUUAUCACUCCAACAUUGGUGCUCCACCAUUUGAGCUCUUGUAUGGUCGGAGAUGCCGUACCUCGGUUUGUUGGGGAGAUGUUGGUCAUAGGGUCAUGGGAAGUACUAAACUAGUCCUUUAGACCAUGAAGCUUAUCCAGUAGAUCAGGCAGAGACUGCAAACCGCUCAACAUCGGCAUAAGAGCUAUGUCGACCGGUGUUGAUCAGAGUUGGAGUUUCAGGUCGGCGAUAUGGUGCUACUGAAAGUCUCGCCCUGGAAGGGUGUGAUACGCUUCAGGAAGAGGGGUAAAUUAGGUCCUCGGUUUAUUGGACCCUUUUGAGUGAUUGCCAGGGUUAGCAAGGUAGCUUAUAGGUUGUAUUUGUCGAGGUAGCUUAGUUAAAUCGUCAACAUUUUCCAUUUCUCUCAGUUGAGAAAGUGUGUGUUGGACAACGAGGUAUUGGUUCUGUUAGAUGAUAUUCCGGUCGAUGAGCGCCUAAACUAUAUUGAGAGAACGAUAGCUAUCCUGGAAAGGAAGACGAAGGUUAUGCACAACAAGGAGGUACCUUUGGUAAAGGUAUACUGGCAGCAUCGUAGAGGCUCCGAAUGGACCUGGGAGCUGGAGGCUGAGAUGCGGGAGCAUUAUCUUGAUUUAUUCGCUGCAACUGACUUUGAGGAUGAAGUCUAGUUCAAGUGGGGGAGAAUUGUAAUAUCUUGAUGAUGAGGUACUUCUAAAUUUGGCCCUUUAAUUGAAUUAUAUUACAUUUUGGUCCCUAAGUGUAAGGAAGAAUGCAAAAGGGCCCAUAGUGGUAAUUUGGUAAAAGUUGGGACGACAUGAGUACGUUGUGCGUACGUAUGUACGCCAAGCGUACUAAGGCACACCUUAGUAUGUUGGGCGUACACUUUUUAUGCAAGGCAUACAUGGAAAGCAUGCAAACUCUAAUUCUAGGGCUUUGUCUCAUAUUUAAGCAAUCUUAUGGACUCAUAUCAUCUUCUUACCCAACCUCCUUUUAUGAUUUCGACUCUCAAGCAACCCUAGAGUAAGAGAGAGCAAAUUUGGAGCCUUUAAGAGAUUCUUGGAGAGGUUUUGGAGAAAGAAGAAGGUGGGGAGAAGAUCUUGGAGUUGAAUUCACUUUGGAUCAUGAAUUUCUACUUGGUUUGCAACAUCUUGAUGGUAUAAAGCUUGCAUCUUUACCACUCGAUCUUGUAGAUUUAGGUUUUUUCACUUUUUAGUCACUUUUUGGUCCUAGAAUGAUGAUUCAUGAACAUAACAUGUUCUUGACCCAUUAAGCUUUCCUUUCAGACCCUUGGAAAGGUCUUGAGUAAUAAAAAUUGGUUCCAAAUGGUUGGUUUUUCUCCAUGCAUCAUUUAGAAGGUCUUAAUGGAUUAAGAAGUUGAGAUAAGCACUUAAUAGACAUGGAAAGUCAAAAAGUUGGAAACUUUAUGACUCUUGAGGGUAUGUUAGUUUAACAUCCUAAAAUUAAAGACCAAAGACUUCAUUUUUAAUUAAGUAAUUAUAAAACCAAUAGUUUAAAAACAUUCAUAAUAUCAUCCCAUGUCAAAUACCAAGAUGUCACUAAUCGAAACAUGUCAUAGUAAAACAAUAUCAAAGUAUAACUCCCAAAGAUCUCAUGUGCGGAAACCAUGGUGUGAUGCGUUGCAAUCAUGCCAGAUCCUUUCCUUUCGAGGAAGAAGUAACUGAAACCAAAACUGAAUAUAAAAGUGAAAAUCUUAGUGAGUUCCCCCAUCAUACCACAUACCAUACAACAAUACAGUGCCAAGCAUAUCUUGGUGCUAGCCUCCCCUUCGGUCUAUUUCAACUGGAUACUGCCAAGCAUAUCUGGGUGCUGGCCUCCCCUUCGGUCUAUUUCAACUGGAUACUGUCAAGCAUAUCUGGGUGCUGGCCUCCCCUUUGGUUUAUUUCAAGCGGAUACUGCCGAGCAUAUCUGGGUGUUGGGCUCCCCUACGGUCUAUUUCAACCGGAUAUUGUAGGCGUCGAGUUGUGUUGUGAGGUGUCAAAAGUUUUUGAUAGUUUCGAUAGUUUGUAAUGUUAUUAUAAGGGCAUUUUUGUUUUGAAGCUUUUAUGUAAAGUUCCUUAUAUAUUUUGUGUGCUUUCUGUUUCCCUAUAAAUAUGGGAUGUGUACUAGAGAUAGAUAAGAACUUUUGUGAUUUUGUCUAAACAGUCUUUGUACUUUUGAAAGCAUAAUUGAGACAAACAAACUUUAUUUAGAUCUCGUGCUCAUUAUUCUUACUUUACUCUGACCUUAUAUUUGAUAUUCGAUUUCAUUGCAACUACAUUUGGUAUCAGAGCAGGAUUCAUACCGGAUUGUUCUGAUUUUCUGAGUUUUAGCAAAAGUUUUGAUUCUCAUUUUAGAUUUCAGUUUUCCGCUCUUUUGCUUCAGAAAAUCAUCUUAGAUCUUCUGUUGUGAGUCGAUUCUACGUUCUAGUUGGAUAAUCGAGUGCUCAAUUGUUAAAUUAUGAGUGUUUUAGCUGUUUGAUUUCCAUUUGAUUUGAGCUUUUGUCAAAAAAAAUUCAUACAACAAUGGCGAACUUCAACAUGAACAUGAUGACUUCUUACUCUCAUCUCCUUGGUUAAUCAACGUAGAUUCCAAUGUUGACUCCUGAGUUCUAUGAUCAGUGGGCUAAUCGAAUGGAGAAUUACUUAAACGAAAUUGAUAAGGAACUCUCGAAGUGUAUUAUAGGUGAUGUUCGUCCUCUUGCUGCUGUUCAUAGUAUUGGAACUUCUUCGAACAAUCAAAAUGUCGAUGAACAAUCUGAAAGAUUGUUAAAGAAUGAAAAGAAGUGUAUGAGAGAGCUCAGAGGUGCUCUUCCUCUUGUUGUUUACAAUUGUGUGCGUAGCUGUAAGACUGCAAAAGUGAUUUGGGACACGUUGAAAUAAAAGUAUCAAGGAAGCUUUUAUGUAAAGUCCCAUAUAUUUUUUGGGUGCUUUCUGUAUCCCUCUAAAUAUGGGAUGUGUACUUGAGAUAGAUAAGAGCUUUCAUGAUUUUGUCUAAACACUCUCUGUACUUUUGAAAGCAUAAUUGAGCCAAACAAACUUUAUUGAGAUCUCGUGUUCAUCAUUCUUACUAUACUCUGAUUUUAUAUUUCAAAAAUGUGUUUGAAUAAGGAGAAUUCAAGAAGGAAGAAGGAGAGACCAUUGGAUCUUUAUAUGAUCGUCUGAAUGAGCUAAUUUUCAAAUGUAACCGGUAUGGAAUCAUCUGAUCAACAAUGGAGUUCAAUCUUACAUUCAUCAUGGGUCUUCGGAAGGAAUGGAGAAAUGUGAGCCUCAUGAUAAAGACACAAAAAAGUUUUGAUUACUUCUCUCUGAAUGAUCUUUACAAUGUGAUGAAAGCACAUGAAUCCGAAGUGAAUGAAAUUGUUGAGGAAUCAAAGAUCAACUUAGGUGGUCCGCUUGCACUUGUUUCGAAAGUUACUGGCAGAGAAGCUGAGAAAGAGGUUGCUGAGAAGGAGAAUUUUUCAAGAAGCCAUUCAAUGCAAAGUCAAAAACAAGUGAAGUCAAGGGAAGUUUUUAUGAGAACAAGAUCGAUGUGCAGGGACAAGGUUUGAAAACUCAAACCUUGAGUGAAUGCAUAAGAUCAAUGUCUGCUUACUAAUAAAUGCAAGUCAAGUCUGGAAAGACCAGUCAAGUCUUAGAUAAUGUAUUCAACAAAUGAUCAAGUCAUUAAAUGAAGAAUAACAGUUAAUGAUCAAAGUAAACUUAAUAAAUGAAGAACAAGAAGAAUGUUUGAAAUAACUUAGUAAAGAAUCAAAAGUUGAAUGAAAGAUUCGCUGUUGACUUAUAUUGAAUGCUCUUUUAAGUAGGAGUAAAGAUUACAACGAAUUAACUAGAAUGUUUUCAUAGUACCGGACAAAAGAAAUAUUUCUGACAUUCUGAUUGUCCAAAUAAGAUAAAAGACUAAGUCCUAUGAAACGUUACAUCAAUACAAGUACAAAUAUAAUAAAUACUCUAAGACAAAAUAAUCUUCUUCUGGAUCAGCAUUCAUUCCGAACAUGAGAGGCAUUUCGGAAUGACUUCAGUCUUCACUUUGUCUUUAUUCCUGAUCCAGACCGUGUUCCGGACCACUCCCCAUUUCGAAAUAUGCACACUUCGGAAUAAGUAUCUAGGAUUGCUAGAGGUUCACUUUCAGGUUCCAACAUCUCCCCCUAAGUGAACUUAGUAAUCCAGCAAGCUUACUUCAUUUCUUCCUUAAUGAAGGUGUAUGCUCUGAGUAACCACUCACAGACUUCUAUGUACCAUGCCAGCUGACUUACAAACUUUGCCUUGACUUGUUCCGGAGCAUCAGACUUGGAUGCCUGGGAUAUGAACUUUUUCAGGGCUUUGGUCGGAACCAGAUGUUUGUCAAGGACUCAGAAAAAAUCAUUCUUUUUUGUUUUCCUUGUGGUGUAGACAAACCCCAGAACCGAUUCUUCAAUGGGACCAUCAGCAAGGACUUCAACUUCCGGAAGAAUAAAGUUAAUAUUGGCAACAAAUUGUUCAGUUCCGUAGAGGUGUGCAAGCUCAUAAUCUUGUUGGCAGAAUUCUGCAACGUAAUCCUUCAGCAAGCUUAGAGUGGCAUGAUAAGCUCCCGUACUUAUGUCAUCCUUAUGAUUUCCUUUAAAAUAGGCAGCUAAGGUGAGGAUGUCGUUCGGAUUCAUGGAUGUGAAGUCCGCAUCAGUAAUAGUCCGGUGAGUAGACUUGUUCCGACGAAUGUGGAAACGAAAGAGAGGACAGUUGAGCUCAAAUUUUACAAGAAUUUUCCGUCCGAAACCUUCCACUUUGGUGAUCCUUUUCCUUGACCACACUUCCUUCAGAGGUUGAGCGUGUUUGGAGUAGAAGGUUUUAAGUCUCUCUCGCUCGGUACGGAUAAUUGUCUGCGGAUCGUCUGAUGAGUGAAGAUGAGAAAACUUAGUGUAAAAUUUGCUGAAGGGAGAGAGAGGAAGAUCCAGUUGCUCAGAGUCAUUUGGAGAAAUGUCGUUGUACAUGCAUGGGAUUAUUUCUUCAGCCUUGAGAAUGCCUUCACGGCAAAGAGGAGAGAUGCCUCGCAUUGGAUCAGUAUUGUCUUUUAGGGACUGGAUCUGAAUGUUAUCCUCUAAUGCUUGGUUGAUUUCUUCCCGCGACCAUCCAAAUUUUUGCUUGAGGGGAGGUCCGGAAUGAAGGGCUUGUUGCUCGGCAAUCAUAGGCUUCUUCCCUUUGUCUCUUUUCAGAGCGUCCAUGACAAGCUUCAUGUUUUCAUCGAUCAUAAAUUCCAGAGUGGGAUUCGAAAGAGGUUCUUCCAUAAUUUCAUCAGGGAUCCGGAGAGGAGAACCUUGGUCAAUCGGAAUGGAAGGUUGCAUGGAAGGAGUGGCUCGGAAGGCUUGUGCGGUGAGGAGAAAUUUUGCCUUGACCAUUUGAACAACUUUUUGAAAGGCAUCUGGUAAAGAAGUUGGCCAGGACAUUGCGGACCAUAUUCUCUUCUCUUCCUCAGUCAGAACCUUUGGAAGUAUCUUCUAUGGAGCUUCAAUGCCUAUAACUCCUUAGGUGAUGUACUUUUCUUCGUCACUGUCUUCUUCAUCAGCAUAGGAGUUUCCUAGAAGUCCGGACACAAUUUGGACUUCAUAAUCAAAAUUCAAUUCUUCAUCUCGGAGUGUGAACUCCGAGGCCGGUUUCCAUGGUUUAUUUGGACCUUGUCCCCCUCUUGCAUCGGUGGUCCUCGAAACCGGUGCAAGUAACAGAGUAUCCUUGAGAUCGUCAUAUUUGGAGAAGACUUUCUGAAGGCCCGUGUUAAGCUGAAGAGUGAGGGUAUCGUAUGCUUUGGAUGUUGGGGCUUGAGAAGCAAUGUGUUUGAACAUGUCACUGAGGAUGGAUAUCAUCUGAUCAAACUUCCUGUUCGGAACAUCAACAAUAUUCCAAGCUGAGUGAAGAAGUUUGAUGAGGACUUGUUGAAUUAUCAUGUUCAUUUCAUCCUUCUGCUUGAUCUCCUUCUCCAUCCAUUGGAUUUGUUUCUCAUGAUGAAUGUGGGUCUGCUUUAUUAGGUCGUUGGUCAUAGCCACCAAGUCGUAAUGGACUUUUAGCAUGGAAGUGAUUGUGUUGAGAUAGUGAUCAACCAAAAUGUCGUAUUUGGUGUCAACUUCUUCCAUUGUGUGCUUGAGCCUGAGAGAGAUUAACUGAUCCAAUUGAGCUUCUGUUUCAGCAAUAGAUGGUUCGGACUAGUGAGAUAUUGACUGAAGAAUGGCAUCAAGCUUGGAAUCAAGUCCGGAGACUUUUUGAUCCAUCUUCUUAUUGAGAUUAGUGACAGAAGUUUCAAUGGAGGCCACUUUCUGCAUGGUGUCCGAGACAUUCGCCUAGAUCUCGAGGAGUUCGAAAGGGUCAAUGUAGUCACCAGCAGAGGAUUAUGAAUCAGAAUCGGAAGGUUGCGGAGGAGCUUGGUGUGAGGAAGUAUUAGAGGGACCAGGCUUGGUUGCAGCAUCCUCUUUAGGGAUGUUGGAUCUGAGUGCAUCAUCCGGAGUGGUGGAUGAGGAAGAUCCGAAGUCAUAAGUUGACUUCGAUGCGGAUGCCUUUGCUUGAAGAUGAAGAGAAGGCAUGAAGUCAGUUUUCGGAACAGUCUUUGCGUCAUCAUCCAGCAUGAAUUCUUCGAAGAUCUCUUCAUCCGGAUUGGUGUGGAAAACACUUUGAUGAGUGGUAAUGGGAUGUAGUUUAGAAGUAAGUUCUUUUGUAGCAUCAACAUCAUUGGGAGGAACAUAACGCAGAUUGCUUUGAAUGGCCCUGUUCCUCAUGGAGAUUAGCGUGAACUCCACGACCCUGUUAAUAAAGUUUUCCCAUAGAGGAUCAUUAGCACCUAGUCGUCCUGUAUGCCUUCCGGGUAUCAGACCAGAUGAGGCUUCCGGAGUUGGAGAGACUGCUCCAUCUCCGGAAAGCUUGGGGUCCGAAACAGGGGUUCCAAAGUGUGUGCGUGUGGAAGAAACAAUGGGAUCAUCAAAGGUUACUUGUGGGUUUGUUCCAGGGGGCUGCAAGGAACUAUGUUCAACACCAGCAUCACCUUUUUGGGAAGGUGAGGGUGGAUUAUGUGGAGACUUCCCGUGAGUGUGUGUAGGUGUUUUCGAAUCACUGAGGGGUACCUCAGAUGAGUGGACAGGGGGGGUUUCGAAUGGCCAGAGUCAGCCGGAAUGUCAUGAGCAACUUACUUUGGAAAGUAAGAGAUGAAUUCGGUUCUCUUUUUAGGGUUGGACUUGGAGGGAGAAGCCUUUCGUUUGGUAGAUUUCUUAACCUUUGGUCCGGACGUAGUAGGAUUGCCCUCUUUCGAGAUGGGCUCAAUUGAGACUGGGGCAGGUUGUGUUGGGUCAAACACAACCGAAAUCUCAAGGUGAUGUUUAAGAUAGAUGGACUCGGAAGGAAUACGGGCCAACAUGUGGUCCAGAAGUCUUCGAACCGGACCAAAGUAGGAUUGGUCCGGAAUUCUAUAAGCCUUAACUACUUUGAAAGAGACACAUACCUCUGGAGGAAUGGUGUUAACCGGAAGUGGUUCGGACAACUCUCGAAAGAUUUGUUGGAGCGUCAGGGCCCAAAACCUAGGGCUCGAAAUCUCGUUCUCAUUUCAUUUGGUAGCGAAUUUGUAGAAGUCUUGCCACAGGAUUUCUGGAAGAUCCACAAAAUUUUCGCGUCCGGAGUAAAUGUUGUAGACGACAUUGAGCCAGUCCUUGCUCAGUGUAUCAGUUCCGCCUUGCUUUUAGGAUAUUUUCUAAUGAUUAAGUGCAUGAGCACGAUCCAGAGUCCGGAGAUGACGGACUUCUUGAAAUCUUUCGCCUUGUAGUCUUGAGAAUACCCGAUGUAUUUUAAGAGCGUCUGAAACUCUUCAGUCGUUGGUUCUUGUACCACGAAACCCCUUGGGUUUGCUUUCAUACCAAUCGCCUUAAGGAAGGUUGAUUUGUAGAUGGGAACAGUUAUGUCUCCGAUGAUUUGGGUCUCCAAAGCACCAUCUUUGAGUUUGAUAUUGGAAAAAGCACGAUGAAGAUGGCGAAGUGGUAGUAGAGGUCCAAUGAUUUUGGUGAGGGGAAUGGAGAUGGGGUGAUUUGCGAUAAAUUCGACCAUUACCCUGAUGGAUUCAUCGUAAUCCAUGGGAUUGAGAGAAAACAGUUGAGUUGUAUCUCUUAGAACGGGUUCUUGACUUGCAGAUGAUGAUGAACCUUUGGAAACCUUGGUUGAUUUCUUCUUAGCAAUGGAUUUCAUGAUGGUCGGGGCAGUUUGAGUCGAUUUUUGUGGAGACGCCAUUGUUGCACGGAUGAAAGCUGUCAAGAUCACGAAGAACACAUAAAGUAAUUAAGGGUUUGAGAGUAUUGGGUGCGUAAAGAGGUAAAAGAGGGUUUUGAUCGGUUUAUAUAGGUAAGGUUAGUGGGUCGGGUCGGAAAAGUAAUGAUGAGGAUCCGAACAAAAUAUGGGUCGCAUUAGUGAUAAAGAAGUUUACGGGGGCUGAGUUGACCUGGGAGGUGAAAAGUUAAGGUUUUUUGUGGCUAAAAAUGGAAAACACAACCAUUGAGUUGAUGGUUGCGAUUAUGGGGGUGUGCAAUCGUGUCAUGAGAAUCGAGGAAUAUGGGUUAGAGAUCUUCCUAAAAAAUAACCGUUGAGAGAAAAACGUUUCACCUUAUUAUCCUUUAGACUUCCGGAUGAGCUGUUUCGGACAAGAUGUGCUCCGGAGGGUAAAGGGUUGCAUUCCGGAACAUACUUGUUUUGAAAAAGUGUGCCGGAAUAAGAAAUAAUCCGAAGUGAGUUUCAGUUUCGGAGUCAAAAUUUAGUGUAUUGAAAAGGUUUGUGAUUCCGGAACAAAGGUUCAGUUUAAUUCGAAAGGGUUGAUGAGUCCGGAGCAGAAAUUCCGGAAUAGUGAUUUUCAAGAAAUUACGGAUUGAAAUUUUAGAAAUGCUUUCAGAGUUGAUUUUGAAAUUUCGUAGUCGAUUUUGAAAUUCCGGAGUGCAGAACGUAAUACCUUUCAAGAGUGGAAUUCCGGGAUGCCAUUAUGAAGUAUAUUCCGAGAUAACAAUCUGAAUUCAAGGUCAAUGUGGGCUUAAAACAACAAUCAAUCAGAAUGAACUGUACAGCUUAAAAAAAACUUAAGUGAUGGUCAAAAAUAAAGAUAAGUAAAAUGAUCCUAUGUAUUCCGAGAUGAAAAUAUUUUGAGAUCGGAACUAGAUUUCUUCCAAACACGUCUAUCAAAGAGAACAAGUCUCUUGAAAGAACUGAGGAUCUGCUAUCAUCAUACCCAUCUUGUUCAGAAAACAAUUGAAUUUGGUUUUGUUUAAUGCCUUGGUAAAGACAUUAGCAAUCUCAUCGUCAAAUGGAACAAAAAUGAGUUCAAUAUUACCAUUAAGUACAUGAUCUUUAAUGAAAUGGUACCUUAUAUCGAUAUGUUUAGUCAUUGAGUGUUGAAUUGGAUUGUGGGAAAUUGCAAUCGCACUUUGAGAGUCACAAUAGAUAGGAAUACGUUAAAAACGGUAACCAUAGUCCAAAUGUUGUGAUUUCAUCCACAGAACCUGAGAUGUACAGCUGGCAGCAGUGAUGUAUUCUGCUUCGUCUGUAGAGAGUGCAAUGCAGUUCUAUUUCUUGGAUGACCAACUAACCAAACGACCACCUAAGAAUUGACAGCCACAUAAAGUGCUUUUCCUAUAAAGUUGAAAUAUGCUUGAAGAAGGAAGCUUUCAUUUGUUGGGUACCAGAUUCCGAGAUUCUUUGUGCCUUUAAGGUAUCGAAAGAUUUGUUUCACAGCUAAGAGAUGUGACAUCUUUGGGUUGAAUUGAAAUCUGGCACAUAAACAUGUUGAGAACAUGAUAUCCAGACGACUUGCUGUGAGAUAGAGUAGGGAUCCAAUCAUUCCGCGAUAUUUCUUUUUGUCAACUGAAACACCUGAGGGGUCGGCAAAUAUCUUGUGUCCGAAUCCCAUUGGUACUUUGGCUAAGGCGCAGUUUUCCAUCGAGUAUUUUUUAAGGAGUUCCGAAAUUUACUUCUGUUGGUGAAUGAAGAUUCCUCUAUUAGUCUAUUUGACUUGAAGGCAAAUAAAGAAGCUUAACUCCCGAUUCAUGCUCAUUUGGAAUCGAUUGAUCAUCAGUUUAGCAAAGUUAGCAACCAUAGAUGAAUCCAUAGAUCCAAAAAUGAUGCCAUUCACAUAAAUUUGUACCAGCAUAUGAUGCUUUCCAUUUGAUAUUUGGAAUAGAGUGGGAUCUAGAAUUCCCCUUUGAAAACUGGAGCGCUUGAGAAAAUCAGUGAGGGUCUCGUACCAUGCUCGAGGAGCCUGCUUAAGUCCGUAGAUAGCCUUCUAGAGUUUGUAACAGUGGUUCGGAAAGGAAAGAUUAACAAAACCGGGGGGCUGUUGAAGAUAUACUUCAAUAUCAAGUUCACCGUUAAGAAAGGCACUCUUAACAUCCAUUUGGUAAACUUUGAAGCCUUUAUGAGAAGCAUAAGCAAGAAAGAUUCUGAUGGGUUCAAGACGUGCAACAAGAGCAAAGGUCUCAUCAUAGUCGAGCCCUUCGAUCUGAGUAAAUCCUUUUUGCCACCAACCUUGCUUUAUUUCGAAUAAUAACUCCUGCGUCAUCUAGCUUGUUGCGAAAUACCCAUCUCGUACCGACAAUGGGAUGAUUCUGAGGAGAAGGCACGAGGGUCCAAACUUCAUUUUGGUCAAAUUCUACCAGUUCUUCUUGCAUGGCUGUAAUCCAGUCAGCAUGAUCCAAUGCUUCCUUGAUGGAUUUGGGUUCAACCAUGGAUAUAAAUGCUAAAAAUGGCAUUCAUUUUAGAUAUUUGCAGCAGAACGAGUUCGUACACCAGCAUUGGGGUUACCGAUUACUUGGUUCGUAGAAUGAUUCUUUGUCCAAACAUGUAAUCGUGGUAGUUCUUGUGCAGCCGUCGAUCCUAUAUCAACAAUGGAAUUGAUUUGCCCCUGAAUAAUUUGAAUGUGAGGAUGAUGCUCCCCCUGAACUUGUGAACCAGAGAGACUGACGUCGUCAUCAGAAGGGAACUCAAAAAAGUUUUCAUUUUCAUCAUUGUUGAGAGGAUUGAAAUCAUCGAAAUCAGCAGCUGCAUCUUGGAAACCAUCCACAUUUGAUUCAAGAGAGGGAUAAGUAUUCUCCCCCUCAACCUGAGAAUGUUGAAAUGGUUCGGAAUCAAAUGGAGGGAGGCUUGGGAUUGGACCGGAGACAUUAUGUGAGAUGGGAGCUUCUAAAGUAGAGAUUGGAAUAAGAGUUGAUCUUGAUCAAGAUUCCGAAUCAAGAGCAGUUUCGGAAGGACCAAAGAGUGUUUCAAAAUCAACUUCAAGGAUUGUUUGGAGGUUCGGACAUCCUGGCAAAGAAGCAUCGGACUCCAUAAUGUGAGUUGUAGUGUGAGUUGGGCCAGAAUUCCGAACGAAGUUGUCAUCGAAAGUGACAUCAAAGAUUUCUUCUAGAACACGCGUUCUACGGUUAAUAACUUUGUAAGAUUUUGAUUUUGAGGAGUACCCAAGGAAGAUGGAUUCAUCAGCUCUAGGUUGGAACUUGGUAAGUUGAUCACGGUUGUUCUUGAUGAAGCACCUACAUCCGAAAACAUGCAAAAAUGAGAUUGUUGGCUUCCGACCAUUCAUUGCUUUGUACGGUGUCAUGUUGAGGCGUCGAUUGAUGACUUCGAUUUUGAGUGAAGCAGGCAGUAGACACGGUCAGCCCAAAGAUAGAGUGGAAGGUUUGCAAAGUUCAGCAUAGAUCGAGAAACUUCAACAAGAGUUAUAUUACAUAUUUCGACUACACCGUUUUGUUGUGGAGUAUAGGCGGCUGAGAAGUUGUGGUCAAUUCCUUUUUUUGUGAGAAAUUUUUCAAUGGUGGAAUUAGUGAAUUCCGAUCUAUUAUCACAUCGGAUUCUCCUAACUGGGAGUUUGAUAAGAACUUCUAUUCCUUUAAUGAAAUUUAUGAGCUCUGAGGCUGUUUCAGAUUUCAGCCUUAGGAAGAAAACCCAAGUGAACCGUGUAAAAUCAUCGACAAUCACAACAAUGUAUUUCUUAUGAUAAAGACUUUCUACCGUAGAUGGUCCACAAAGAUCGAUAUGUAGAAGCUCCAAUGGUUCCAAAAUGGAUUUUUCGAUGAUAACAGGAUGACCCUUCUUUGAUUGCUUACCACACUCACAAGCAGCACACAAAUGAUCAUUUUUUAAUAUGAGGAGAGGUAAACCUCUCACCAUUUCACUAGAUACAAGAUCAUUCAUGUACCGAAAGUUUAGAUGAGCGAACCUUCGAUGCCAUAACCUACUGACAUCAGGAACAACUUUGGAGAGAAGGCAGAGUUGCGGUUUGCCAAUAAUAAUGUUGAUGUCAAGUGGGUACAUAUUCUUGUUGCGAAGCGACUUGAUUAAGCACUUUGUUCGAUCUUUGGUCAUUACAUAGUUAUACUUCUUGCAAAAUUCCACACAUUGAUUUGAAUUAGUGAGUUGAGAAACACUGAUAAAAUUGUGUUUCAGGUCAGCUACAUAAGCCACAUUUGAGAUAGAGAAGUUUCCAUUGGUGAGAAUUCCAUAACCACGAAUCUGAGAGUUGGAGUUGUUGCCAUGUCACGUAAACAGCAUUUGGGGAAACCUUUAAGUCUCGUAGAAAAUCUUUUUGCCCCGUCAUGUGCAUGGAGCAAGCACUAUCAAUAUACCAUGUUGUAUCUUGCUCUGAAGCACAAAGUGCCUGCAAAAUUAGUGAGUAAUGGAGUUUUUAGGCUCUGAAUUAGACUUUGGGACGUAGACACGGGCUUUGGACUUUGAUGGUGACUUUGGAACAACUUUGUGUUUAUGGGUGAUAUUCUUUGAAGUUUUUGGAAACAGAUAGAAGGUCAAUUUCUUUUCAUCUAUCUAGUAGUGAUAUUCAAUGACUUGAAGGUUCCGAACAAUCUUCUUCGGACUGAUGACUUCCGGAGUGUGGGUAACAUUUGUAACUUCCGAAAUUGACUUUUCAUUAAUGGAAGUUUUGGCUUUCCACACAAGAUUUUUCUUUGAAGAUUUUGAAAAAGAUGUUUUCCCUANNNNNNNNNNNNNNNNNNNNNNGGUUUACUUGAUGACAUGUUGGUUUUAGAAGGAUUUGGUUUAAAAAUUGUCCCAUCAGAUUUUGCAAUAAAAACAGAUGAAACAGUUCGAGGAAGGGUGUUUUGGACUAUGUUGACAUUCACAUGAGAUUUAGGCCAAGUAGAAUCGUCUACUUUCUUGGGUUCUAUGCGACUGGGAGAUUCAGAAGGUCUUUUGAGAAUCUUAGUGGGAGCAAAAGAGUUUUGAUAGUGAGGUAAUGCAUGAGAAUUCUGAGACACACUUGAUUUAGAGAUUUCAGUGAACCUAGAAUUUAGUCUAGUUUGGACUUCUUUCUUAUGUGCAUUUCGAGCUUCUACUUUGGGAUCCAUAGUAUCCUUCCUAUGCAACAUUGGUUUUCUUUUAGUGUGAGUAAGGAUUUUGAGGUUUUUCAUGCGGAUGAAUUGCUAAACUUAGGAGUAGAGGGAACUAACUUAGCUUUUGAGUCCACUAAGGAAUUCGAUUUGCAAGAAUCAGAGGAGACACAACUUAAUUUUUCAACUUUAUCAUCUAAGGAUGCCCAUACAAACUCAGAAGUGUAUGUUUCAAUUGCUAAGGAAGGAAUUUCUUCAACUACACAGUUGUUAGUGUGAUUACUCAUAGGAGCAUAAUCUACGCAAUUUGGAAGACUAUUAUGAAAUUAUGUUGUCUGAUUCAAGUAUAGGUUAGUCAGAGGCGGAAGUGGCGUGGAAUCAGGACACUUGAAAACAAUUGGUUUAAACAGAGGAAUUAACGACUCAAAAUGGUAUGUAGUCUCCGAAAGUGGUGACAAAGGAGAAACGGGGGUGUCCGAAUGUUUAAUAUUCGGAACUUCUCCCAUGAAUGUCAAAUUUUCUAACUCCUCCAGGGGACUAGCAAUUGGUAUUGGAAACUCGCUUCCGAGACCAGGUGCUUUAGACCAUGGGUGACGAAAAUUAUGAGUCAUUUGAAGGUCUGCUUCAAGCAUGUCUACAGAAUUAUGCAAAGCAUCUAUCUUGGCAUUUAGACGUUUAUUACCAGAAAUCAAAAUAUUUCGUCCGGAAUAUGUGAUUUCACAUUUAUCUUUUAAAAUGAUACAUUCAUCACUUAACAUUACAAGUUCACGCUCUAAAGACUCGAUUUUCAACAUUUUAUCCUCGAAAUGUAACCUAAGACAAUUUAACUCACACUCCUUCUUCUCACUUGUGUCUAUGGCAGACUCAUAGGCUUUAUAGAUGGUGUUCAUAUCUGUUUGAAUUUGGGUCAGAUAAGGUUCAUAGGGAGACAAGUCAAAGUUAUUAUCAGAUAUCAUAGAUUUUACCUGCUGAACGAUGCUUCGUCCUAGUGGAUCAUUGGUUUCCAUGUACCAAUCGUGAGGUUCAGCAACAUCAUCUUCAUCUUCUAAUCUUGAAGACCAAUACCCUUCAUCACAUUCAAUGGUUUGUCUUGCCAUCAGACACAUAUUUUUUCCUGUUACCAAGUCAUCAUCAUCAUCCCCGGAUGACCAAUAUCCUUCAACAUUUCUUGAAACAGUUGUAUGAUCUAAUGAUUGUUGCGAAGAUAAUGAAGAGUGUUGAUGUUUCGAAGCUGCAAGUGAUGAACAAAGAAGAUUUUAUGGUGGGUUUUGCUCACUUGAACGUGUUUAUUGAUGAUACUAUGGUUAUUUGGCAUUAACAGAUGUUGAGUUAACUUUAGCAUUGGAUAAACAAAUCAUUGUUCCUCAGUCCUAUUUUGGGCUAUAAAACAGAUAAAUCUUUUUCCAUAAAAGAAAUAUUUUGCCUUAAACUAUCACAUCUCUUAGCCCCCAAGCAGUUUAAUCCAGUUCAAAUUCCCUCUUAAUUCAAUAGAUUAAUAAUCCCUCUCCACACAUCCCUCUAACGUGUGAUAAUAGGCAUGACAGUCAAUUAAUGCCCCAUUUUUCAAAAAUGAAUACUUUUUCUGAUUUAAUUUUAUGUGUGGCUGAUAAUUGUUAAACCCAAGGGUUUUUUCCAUUAACAAUUGUAAAUAAGGUAAAUCGAAUAAUAUUUGAAAUCCAAUGGUAUAUAACACUCUUUUCCCUCCUAAGAAAUCUUUACGCUUUCUGAAACCUUACGACGAUCUUUCUUUCCUUCAUGUUCUUGAUCUCCGGUUUUUCUGCAAGUUCUAAAACCUUUUCAAAAUGGUGAAAUCUGGAAUCUCCAAAAAGCAAUCCAAAGCUUCUGGGUCUACUCAACCAACUGGUUCUGAUUCAACAAUCAUAAAUCAAUCUUCGACGAUAGCCUCUAGCAACUUCACGACAGUGUUUGAAGUUCAUCCAUCAUACAACGAGGCGAUUCAUUUGAUGAUCAAGUACUUGUCAUCUCACCCACUGUUUGGCAUGUUCAACUCCUUCACCGAUAUCGUUCCCCUAUCCACUCUGUUCAAGUGUGCAUUCUCCGUUUUUCGCCCAAACAAUAACCCUCAAGAAGUUCAUUUGACCCUGAUCGAUGAUUCUUUGGAGGUACUAACUAAAGCCAAGCUUCUGGAAGCAAUUAACCUCCGAGUUCUUCCUUCAACCAAAAUUUACUCACCAAGAGUCAACAACAUCACUUCAAUCCUAUACCAGAUGGGUUAUCAGAAGAAACUUAAAGGAAUUGGGGAAUUCAAGAAAAACCAAGUCCAUGCGGUAUGGAAAUAUGUCUGUCACUAUGUCAUUCGGAGUCUCUUUGGCAGAACCAGAGGCACAUACAACAUGGAACUCAAAUUGCUUGAACUUGUAUGGAGCAUCUUCAUAGGCAAAGCAGUCAACUAUAGCUAAAUUCUCUUAGAUGAAUUCCUACAAUAUGUUCCCAAGGAGAAUCCUCAAGAAGACCCAACUAAACUCACUUUUUCACACUUCUGGUCCCUUUGUAUCUUAGAUCUUCACAAAGAUGCAAAACUUGAUGUGAGUGCUGACGUCAAUCUCUUUGCUACCCGCGAUUUAAAAAGGUACAUACUCUCCAAAGCUCAAUCAAAUUUUGGACCACUUAGGAGACUACCUAGACACAUCCUUGAGUCUAUUGGAUUCAAUUCUCUUGAAGUCACUAACCAUAUUGAGGCUACAGAUGGUAUUGACCCAUACCAUUCCUCCCCACCUCAUCCCAGUCAAGCUAUUGUUGUUCCUACCAAAUCCCAAGGUCCAUCUGGUAUUGUAAUUCCUACUACAACCUCAGUCCCUCGUACUGAAGGACCCUCUAGUCAACCAAAACCCAAGCGCCUCAAGCAAAUAGUCUUCUCUAAGAAGGCUCCCUGCAACAUAGUCAGGAAGAGUGAAAAUCCUUCGAAGAAACGCAAACACAUGGUUGUUGAGUCUUCAACUGACACCCCUCCUUCUCUAUUCGAAACUCAUGACGAACCAGUAAAUGUUGACGAAUCCACAAGUGAUGAAUCUGAUGAUCUUUUCAAACGGAAGAAGCUUAAGCUUACCCCUAGCCAUAGCAAAAUGUGUGACCCGACCAAUACCGCAGUCUAUCAGAAGAAUCUGGUUGUCCUUAGAUCCCCUACAGGAGUAUUCACAUCUACCAUCUCCAGAUAAUCAGAUGCAUCAUGUGCUUCUAUUUCACUUGAACAUGGAGACAACACCCUAGUUGGACCCCAAGAGGAUCCCAUUGGUUCAAAUAGCCCUAAGGUCUCUAGGGCAGGUCACCUUCACUACUUUGAGCCAGAGGAAUUGCACUCCAUCCUUAUUUCAGUCACCCAUUCACUACAAACAUAUAACCAACUGUAGGGCAAUUCUUCCGCCCUUUCCAAAACCGAACCGAGGCCACACUUGACUAUGGUUCAAGGAGACUGAGGAAGUUCGGUAAAUCCUACUCCGCCACCAUUACACUCAAGUGGUUUAGGUGUGGUGAGCACAAUCGUGCUAGGAUCCAUGAACCCAAGGGACACCCUGGUGCAUACACAAGGAUUUGACGGUUAAUGUUCAGAUGAUUCUUGGACUCGGUUUCCACCAAGCACUGGGUCCGAAAUAAAGAAAUAUGAAGCUUUCUGCAGGGCGUUCCAAACAUGAAAGGCUCAAAAGACUAAGCAACAACAGUAGAAGGAACAAGAGAUUCAGACCGUAGCCAAAUACUGGGCAGAUGCUAUCAACAAUGCUAAGACUGCUCAUGACCUUCUCAAAAUUCAAGAAUGGAUGUCCAUAAUGGAAGCUAAGAUGCAACAAGCUCAGACUCUUCAAGGUGGUGCUGGUCCAUCUCAGCCACCUAAUGCUGAGAACCAUGACUCCAAUGGUGAUGGCACCGUAAUCGAGAUUAGUUCAAAUUCGAUGUUUGGACUCGAUGAUCUAGAUAUUGAUGAAAUCGAUCAGCCUGCUCACUCAGAUGACUUUGUGAUGAUAUUUGAUGAAGAAGAAGAGUCAAGUGGCUCCCAACAUUCCACCUCAAAGCCCAAGGAGCAGAAGAAAAAGAAGAAGUUGGUUGUAUCCCGAAAAGAAUUUCUUUCCCUGCAAUCUAAGGUCCACCAGAUUCUGGCCACAGUUACAACUCCUCAACCGCAACAGUCAUAAAUUGUUGGACCGUAGUCCCUAGCAGAGCGUGUGGAAAGGUUAGAAGCCAGAGAACGUAUGGCUGCGGAGAGAAUCUCAUUAUAGGUUGAGAUGGUUAUUCGAGCUCUUGACAAAGGUCGUACUACGGAUCACAAAUAAUUCCUUUCAACUGUUGAAACCCUUAUCCAAGAAGUGACGGCAAUCAAAGAAGAGAUCAAGUCCACUCUUGACCGUCAAGCUGCCAACUCUUAGAACCUUGUCCAAGAAACGCAUAAUGUGUAUGAAUCCGCUUUGGUUGUGAUUCAAUCAACCAUCAAUAGCAUGAGACGUUCUCUCACAACUAACUCCAGUGUAGACGAGAUCUAGCGGUUAACCAAAGAGAUUUACAACUUGCUAUUCAACGCUGACGUUCCUUCCAAUGCUCAAAUUUCCGACCUGAUCAAGUCUCAGUUUGAUCAAGCUUUUUCUAAGAUUGAUGGCCUCAGAAAGUGGUUUGAGGAGCAACAAAUUGUCACUUCCUCAAAAGGGGGAAGUGAACACUCGAAUCCUCAGCAACUUCAAUAUACAGCAUCAAUUCCUAUUCCAAACUUUGGUCCAUCCCACUUUGGUACAUCUCAGCAAAGUAUCGAAACUCAACAACCAACACCACAACCUUCUCCACAACAAACAACUACAGUUCAUUCUCCACUUAACCAACAAACUCCACCAACUACGGUUCCAAAAAAGCCUCCAACUCCAGUACAAUCUCAUCACUCUCCACCGCAACAACAACACUCACCGCAUCAUGAAGUUCAACAUCCAUCCCCUCGUCAAGAAACUCCACCACAGUUCAAGAAUGUGGAACCAACUAUGUCUUUCGAACACUCCAAUAACUCUCCUACCACUCUUCAAAGGAAACAAGACUAGAGAGCUGCAAAGUUUGGAAAGAUCUUGGAUAGUAAGAGAUAAGAAUUCAGAGAUAGAGAAAUUUAGAUGUAGAGAUGUAUUAAUUCAUGAAGUUGAGGACUUUAUUUAUAGAGUCUCAAAAAGUUACAUUGCGAAUAAACAACUAAUAAACUUCUGACUUAUAGUGACUAUGAAAAGUUCACUGGAUAAUACAUUGUAAAAUAACAAGUCAGAAAAUGUAACUAAUUCUUCAUUGCAGAUGAGAAGGUUUCGGAUGACAUCUUCAAAAGAAGUUGUAGUAGCAACAGAAGUUGUAGA